GCUGGAGUACAAAAGAGAAGAUUCAAGUUCCCGCGACCAAUCGGCUUGUUUGCCGCGCCGUGGUUUUCUCCCACCAUAUUCUCGUUGGUCGUGAUGAACUUGUCGACCCGCUGCUGCCUCUUGUGGAACAUCUUGGAGCCUUUGUUGGUGCUUCUCUGCAAUAUUCUGGUUGCUGCGAGGCGCGAAGAGGUCCUGUUACCACAUCAGCCCCUCGAUCACACUUAACGCCCGCCCACCCAUGAUAACCCGCCUGCUUUAGUUCCAAGGUUGGCAUCACGUCAGCACAUUCCCAUAUCGGCAGCAUCCUCCAGAAUGCCAACUAAAAAGUCCUCCAAGGUUCUUCAGCCGCCGGACCUGUUUAGACCAGACGAGACUUGGGUCUCAAUUUUCCCCCGGACUUGCCCCGAUCGACAAAGCGUCUUGAAACUUUGGAACAAAGUUGGACUCACGACGGCAUUAUGAAG